rnacentral:lncRNA from 1 species
AUUCAGUGGGACCAUUCCAUGGGGUCAGGAUGGAGGUGGACCCCAACGACUGUUCCAUGGGGUUGGGAUUCAAUGGGACCAUUCCAUGGGGUCAGGAUGGAGGUGGACCCCAAUGACCAUUCCAUGGCGUCAGGGUUCAAUGGGACCACCCCAAUGGGGUUGGGAUUCAAUGGGACCACUCCAUGGGGUCGGGAUGGAGGUGGACCCCAAUGACCAUUCCAUGGGGUCGGGAUGGAGGUGGACCCCAAUGACCACUCCAUGGGGUCAGGGUUCAAUGGGACCACCCCAAUGGGGCUGGGAUUCAAUGGGACCACUCCAUGGGGUUGGGAUUCAGUGGGACCAUUCCAUGGGGUCAGGAUGGAGGUGGACCCCAAUGACCACUCCAUGGGGUUGGGGUUCAAUGGGACAACUCGAUGGGGUUGGGAUGGAGGUGGACCCCAAUGACCAUUCCAUGGGGUUGGGAUUCAAUGGGACCACUCCAUGGGGUCGGGAUGGCGGUGGACCCCAACAACUGUUCUAUGGGGUCAGGAUUCAAUGGGACCACACAACGGAGACCCCAAUGACCACUCCAUGGGGUUGGGAUUCAGUGGGACCAUUCCAUGGGGUCGGGGUUCAGUGGGACCACCCCAAUGGGGUUGGGAUUCAAUGGGACCAUUCCAUGGGGUCGGGAUAGAGGUGGACCCCCGUGACCAUUCCAUGGGGUUGGGAUUCAGUGGGACCAUUCCAUGGGGUCAGGAUGGAGGUGGACCCCAACGACUGUUCCAUGGGGUUGGGAUUCA